CUCAUGUCCUGUGAUCAAACAACUGUCGUCCAACCCUCCAAUGGUCACCUGCCACGCUGAGGGCAUGGUGGUGACCACGGAGUGGAACAUCGCCGCCUCCAGGAUUAAAGUUCACGUGAAUGGGAACUGGGAGCCACUUCUGAAGGCUUCCCAUAGAUGUCGGUUCAGUGUAAUUGAGCAUCCCGAGGGUGUGGUCAUCUCUAUUCAUUACGUGCCCUGUAUCGACAAAAAGGAUGAAUUGUAUACGCUGGAGCUCUCUGGUGACGGAGAAACAAAGAUCACAUGUCCGUCGCUGUUGGUAGCUCCGCCUCAAGUCAGAAAAAACCUCACUGCUCCAUCCAACCCUGGUUUAGGUCGUACCUCUUAUCCAACUCACCAACAGCUAGAUGCAUCCCAGAUUCCUGAGAACUUUCUUCAAAAACCAUUGAUGCAGAACGAAAACCCAAGCCCGACGCAGCAGAACGGCGGUCGCUCUCAUUUGGCGUACUAUAUUUUUCACCCGCGUUUCCUCGACUCAAAGUCUUUAGCUCAUGACAGCCCACCCACCGAGCUUUCCAAAAGUUCUUUAUCGACAAUGAUGCCAACCAUUCAAGCUAUUCAAGACCCACGAGGGCAAAUGUUUUACCAUUUUCCUUUUCUGCCUCCGCCACCAGAAUCUCCACCAACUUAUAAUCUGCCAUCGGAUAACUCAGGGGAACACUUUCACCCACCGGUUCUACCGCAGAAAUCUGUCGACGUGCCUGCAACAAUCCCUGCAGGUCCAGAACAACAAGUUGCCCAUUUUCUUUUCUACCAUCCCCAACAAGCACCACAUCCCUCUCCUUUGGAAGUUCCUUUACCUCACCGUCAGUACCCUGAAAAAUCACCUGUAAAUCCUGAACCUAGGGAUACAUUUUCUGAGAUGCCGGCUGUAAAGGAGAACACACAGGCACUGCAACCCGAGGCUGCUAACGGCCCAGCGCACCACCAGUCCUACCCUUUCUACCCCCAACAAGAGUCACCGAUAGAACCCACUACUUUUCUAGCACCUCAGAAUCAGGCCCCCAAUGGAGUUCACUAUCCCAUAAAGCCAAAGGCAUGGGAUCAAGAAUCCACUUUUUCACAACCAGCGUUUCCUCAAAGACAAGUUCUGCAGCCAUUUCAGACUAAUGUUCAACCCGUUGGGAAGUCUGAAGUGGAAAUUUCUCAGGGCCAUGUCCGUCCUCUAUUGCAUUCAUCCUACCGAAAACCAAAGCCUGAAGUUCAGCCGUCUGAGACCUCUAUUGUUAAUCCUCGCUCACACAAAGGUGAACAUCUGGAGGUCCAAUUGCAUCAACCGACACACUCGUACCCAACACUAACCUCUGAGAAUCAGCCAAAAGGGAAUUCUCCAACAAGACAAGUCCAGAGACCAUGUGAUCACUCCAAGGGAACAAAUGACAGAAAUGGAAUAAUUCCUACAGAGAAGCUUGAGACUAGGAGAACCCAGCAGGAGCAAACCUAUCACCCACAUGUUCCUCAGCAGCCCCAAAGCCCAGCAGCAUAUUUAGUCAUUAUCACGCACCAACCAGUUCCUCCUCCUUUUCCUCCUGUAAGUGACCCAGACUCCCCACAGAGCCCAGUUCCUGUGCAGUAUGUUCCCUGUUCCCAGUUUUGUCCCACUGGAUUUCCCAACUGCUGCCCGCAAAUUGCAUUUCAUCAACACCUUCAUCAGGUUUUUCCUGUUUUCACUGAGAGUAAAGAAGCUCCGGCUUUCUAUGUGAACCCGCUCGUUCUCCAUCCAGUUGUAUAUUCUGACACAGGCGACGGUUUGGGGUCUCCGGUUCCUCUAAAGGAGUCUGAGGUAAAGACAUCGACUACAACCUCCCCCUCUCUGCCCGUUCUGUAUCUCCCCCUUCCACCUGGCGAUAUGCAGCAACAAUAUCCACCAGAGGGCUACCCUCCAACUUGGCCAAUGAAUAAUUUGAGCAUGAGUGAAAAUGUGAAUAUGCCUGUGUUUCCUUAUUUUCAACCUGAUUCGUUGUAUCGACACUGGAUGUACUCGCCACAACAUCACCAGUACAAAAGUCAACAACCUUUUGUGAUGUCCCCACCCCUGGCCUCGGAUCCGCUUCCAUUAAAUCCGAUUGUGGAACAAGAAGCUCAAAACGUUCCCUUCCCAAAGCCCAAACACGCCCUGCACCACGAAGGCGCAACUAGUCCCGAUGUGUUGCUUUUUAUUGACCAAUAUUUGCAGAAGCAGAGGAACAAACCCACUGCCAUCAAACAAACAUUCAACAAAAAACCCAGUGACCUUCAAAGCUUGACGCAUCUGGACAAUCAACCUGGGCAUGAUCGGUUUCUGGUUCCGUACAGUAUGCUGCAAGAUUCUCCUGUUGCUGUUGAUACAAACAACUCCAAACUGAAGUCACCUGUGAGUGACUCCAAAAAGAACGCCUCUAAACAUAUUCAGAAGCUGGACUUUUACUCUGAAAAGAAGAGUUUUGCAGUGCAACAACACAUCCCGCCAGGUUCGCAACACCUUAGUUUCAAUGAUUCUUUAAAGUCUUUCAGGGACAUUGUACAUGAUUUGCACAAAGUUGCACAAAAUCUGGGCAGGAAUCACAGGAAUGCAACUCCAAAAGAUAAGAAUUCAAAUAUAGCGCAGACACAGAUCUCCCAUUCUAAUUGGUUAGGAGGGGAAAACUCAGAUCCAGUUCUGGGUAAUGUCCAUUACAUGCCGAGGAAUGACGGGGGUGCACAUUCCCCUCCCUCCAACAGGCGUCAGAUUGUGAUAAAACCCCAAGAUCAGCUGAAAGUUGAACACCCAGAGUCACAGAAGGACUUUUGGCAAUCCCUGCUGUCGUCUGGCCCUGGACAAAGUGUUCCACCUGAAGUC
rnacentral:lncRNA from 1 species